AAGGAGGGCAAUUUUCCUCCUCUGCUUCUAGAACAAGAUUUUUGUGUGACUUUGACUGACGUCUGAUAGAGAAAGGCAUUGAGCGAAGAAAUCAACUCCAGAGAUAGGACAAGUAUGUGAGGCAAAACCCCCUCUCUGAAGAGGGCAUGGGAACAAACAACAAGACCCAGCUGCCAAGGCAAACAGUUCAACCGAGCUGGCAGCAAACGGAGCUGCACCCUGGGAUCCAGGCCAGCAGGUGGGCAGGCUUGGAACCUGGCUUGGAAACUGCAGGUGGGAUUACAGAAGCCUGUUUCCCCAGUUACCGAGCAUCUGGAGUGAAAGUUGCAUUGCCACACCAGUGUUUCAGAGAGCAAAAGUGGAACCUGACAUGAUGCAACUGAAACAAUGAUGUGACAGUACUUGACAGAAAGAGGA
rnacentral:lncRNA from 1 species